UACAGGGGGUGCAAACGUUGCUCGGAAUCAUUGGGCGUAAAGCGCACGUAGGCGGUUCGUUAUGUCGGAUGUGAAAGCCCUUGGCUUAACCGAGGAAGUGCAUCCGAAACUGGCGAGCUAGAGUACGAAAGAGGAUCGCGGAAUUCCCGGUGUAGAGGUGAAAUUCGUAGAUAUUGGGAAGAACACCGGUGGCGAAGGCGGCGACCUGGUCCGAUACUGACGCUGAGGCACGAAAGCGUGGGGAUCAAACAGG
rnacentral:rRNA from 1 species